rnacentral:lncRNA from 1 species
GCUUGAACAACAACUUUGGGAAGUGGUAGAGGCAUCCAUCGCCUCUUUCACUUCCCUGAAAAGGCAAAUAACAUCGAUUGCCCUAGUUUCGCUAGAGAACCAUCAAGCCCUGGAUCUCCUGACAGCAGACAAAGGAGGAACCUGUCUAUUCCUGAAAGAAGAAUGCUGCUACUACAUCAAUGAAACUAGAUUGGUCAAAAAGAAUGUCAACAUCCUCCAUUUUGGGGGUGAAAAGCUUAAACAGCAACAAUCAAAUGACCAGGCUGGCUAAACUCAACCCUCAUUAUGUGGCUGACUCCCAUUCUCACUCCUAUAUU